rnacentral:lncRNA from 1 species
AAACCUUAUCAGUGGUGAGGUUAACAUCUCAUGCACUUCUAUGAACACCUCUGAGAAUGUGAAGUCAGGGCUGGCUUGUAAAAGACAAAUGAUUCAACACAUAGUUUGAACUUUUAUUUAUGUUUAAUUUUUUAAUUUUUACAAGAUGCCGAUAGUAGCUGGCUUAUUAAUGUACAUUAUUCUUUGAUAUUUCAGGAAGCCACAGUGUUCAACUGUGAACUACAGAGUCCUGUAAGUUUAAAAUAACUUUGUUUCUCAACUAUGUGAUAUCCAGGAUUUUUUACAAUUACUUUGAGAUUUUUCCUCAUCAGUAAUGCAAAGAAAAUUGCAAUUGGAAUAUUCAACCAACAAUGGUCAUGGUCA